AUGACUCUGUGGCCAAAGUUGGUCUUCUUACUGGCAGCCUUUCAAGGUGUCCAGUCACAAGCCCAGAUGGUGGAGUCUGGAGGGGAUGUGAGGAGACCGGGAGAGUCCCUCCGUCUCUCCUGCCAAGCCUCUGCAUUCACCCUCACUGACAACUACAUGCACUGCGUGAGACAGGCCCCAGGGAAAGGACUGGAAUGGUACUACUCUGACAAAGUGAAGGGAUGCUUUACCAUUUCCAAGGAUGAUGCCAAAAUCCAGCUGUAUCUGCAAAUGAACAACCUGAAAGAAGAGGACACAGCUGUCUAUUACUGUGCGAAAUACACAGUGAGAGGAAGUGAAUCUGAAGCCUGCCAAAAACUUUCUCUGCCUCUGAGUAGCUCUCCAAAAUGA